UACAGAGGUCCCGAGCGUUGUUCGGAUUCACUGGGCGUAAAGGGUGCGUAGGCGGUCGGGUAAGUCUGAUGUGAAAUCUCACAGCUUAACUGUGAAACUGCAUUGGAUACUAUUCGGCUUGAGAGUUGGAGGGGGGACUGGAAUUCUUGGUGUAGCAGUGAAAUGCGUAGAUAUCAAGAGGAACACCGGUGGCGAAGGCGGGUCUCUGGGCAAUAACUGACGCUGAUACGCGAAAGCGUGGGGAGCAAACAGG
rnacentral:rRNA from 1 species